UGGGAGUAGGGGGUGGGGAACUCUUCUCAAAGGGCCUUUGUGGGAGCAGCUGGGGGGGCUAACGGGGGACCCCGCCCUGUGUGACUCAAGCCUCAUUGCUGGGCGGUGACUCACCCCCAGGCCCCCCUUCUGCCUGCCCGCAGCAGGUGCUGUGAGCCAGCUUCGGGAUAGGGGCCUCUGCAGCCAUGGUCAUGCCACCCUGCCCUGGACCUGUGACUUGCCACCCACUUCUAGGGGUUCCAGUCUUGCCCUCACCUCCUUGCCCUCCUGAGCUCGGACCACAGAGAAAACCUCCUACAUCCCGUCCCUCCGUGGGGCAGCAGACAUGGUACUGAAAUGUGCCACGCAUUGUCUCACUAUGAAUUCACGGGAUUCUCAAACCACCCGAGAGGCAGGGUGUUUGUUCUUGCUACUGCCCUGUAACAGAUGCGGAAAUUGAUUCUCCGUGAGGUUGCAGAGUUUAACACAGGAGAUUCACGUGCAGAAUCUGGGUGUCCCAAACUUGCUGCCCCGCAGUGUCACUGCGUGAUCAUCUCAGCUGCUUUAAAUGCCAGUGGUGGGUUACUGCACCCUCCAGUGUCGCUUCUUUUACUGACGGGUAAACUGAGGCAAGGAGCCUUGAAGUCACAGAUCAAGAGUCAAGAGUAAGAGGCAGGGCUGGGAUUCGAACCGAGUCCGAGAGCCCGGGACCUGCUCCGCCGCUUCCCCACGGGCCUCCGGCGCCCACUUGGGGGCUAAGGCGCCCCCGCCGCCGGGCCCCUCCGGACGCCGAGGCCAGCCGAGAUCGGGCCGCCGGCCAGGCUGCUGGGCGCCGCGCCCGUCCGCAUCACGCCGCGGUGAGUCACCGCGCGCCGGCCCCGGCCCCGCCCCCCGCGCCAACAAACAGCGCGUUGCUCGGCAACCGCCACCGCCCUCCAGCGCGGACCUGGGUUCGAGCCUCAGGCCGGGGUGCGCGCUAAGAGGGAUUUUGGGACUCCGUAGUCUUCCCUAGAUUAGGGGUUCAGAUCAGGCCUGUAAUCCUGGUGGGCACGGAGGUGAUGGUGAAGGAGACAGCUGUGGUCCAAUGAAGGUGGGGAGGGCUGAGGGUGGCUCUCUCCAAUCCAGACCCACCGGGGCUCCCCAGAAGUGGGCGGUCAGGUCAGGAGAUGGCGGCUGGGCCAGAGUUGCAGCUGAGAGGUCGAGGCCAUUUUCCUAAGGGAUUUGGGGAGCUGGCCUGGCGGGAGCUGUCAGGAGCGCUGUGAUGAGGGCUUUUUUGCAUCCUCCCCACCCCUGCCGACCUCCCAAACUAGCUAACACUUAAUGAGCACGUUCUAUGUUCUAAGCCUGUUCUAUGCAUGUGUGGGCCUAUGUGUAUUAACUCAUGUAAUGUUCACCAUGAAGUCGGGCGCGGCGGCUCACGCCUAUAAUCCCAGCACUUUAGGAAGCCGAAGCCCGUGGAUCACUUGAUGUCAGGAGUUCAAGACCAGCCUGGGCAAAAUGGUGAAACCCCGUCUGUACUAAAAAUACAAAAAUUAGCCGAGCGUGAUGGCCAGCACCUCUAAUCCCAGCUACUUGGGAGACCGAGGCAGGAGAAUCGCUUGAACCCGGGAGGCAGAGGUUGCAGUGGGCCAAGAUCGUGCCACUGCACUCCAGCCUGGGUGACAAGAGUGAAACUCCGUCUCAAAAAAUAAUAAUAAUAAAAAUUAAAAAUAGUGUUCACCAUGGCCCUCUGACGUUUCAUUGACAUUCUCAUUUUACAGAUGGGGAAACUGAGUCAACAGAGGGUCAAUGUCCUUUGCCAGAGGAUGCACAGCCAAGCUGGCAUCCGGGCUCCCAAACCUGUCUCAGGAGGGUGCAUGCCUGGCCUUGGCAGGGCCAUAUCUGUGGGAGUCUUCAGGCGUUGUGGGGAUAGGUGCCAAGGCUACAUUGAAGUGUGGGUAGGUUAUGCAAGUGGGGGAUGGCGCCUGGUGGGCUCCUUGGGGGCUGUCGACACAUGAUACUGAAGGCUGUGCACUACAGAGGUUGCACCA
rnacentral:lncRNA from 10 species